rnacentral:rRNA from 1 species
AAAUUGAAGAGUUUGAUCAUGGCUCAGAUUGAACGCUGGCGGCAGGCCUAACACAUGCAAGUCGAGCGGAAACGAGUUAUCUGAACCUUCGGGGGACGAUAACGGCGUCGAGCGGCGGACGGGUGAGUAAUGCC